AACGAAGCGACAAGGUAAAACAGUAAGCUGUCCAGAUUUCACAUUUUGGAUAGUUUUGGCGAGUUUGACAAGUUUAACGUAAGGUUCGGAAGACGACGAGACGAGCAGGAUAAAGGGUAACUCCUAAAAGGUACAGAUACAGAUUUUGGGAGUCCGUCAGCUUAGGAUUCCAUGCAGCUCAGCUGGAAGAGGCUUCAUUGUAUCGGAGC